CGACUCUUUUCUUCUGGAACAAUUUUCUUAAUUUGACUCCCCUUUGCCAGCUGCUUCCUCUCCUGACGUUCACCUCGCAGCAGCAUUGAAGACGUGCAGGACCAGACAGCGCCUGCCACGGUUCCGAGGAUGGCCCAGGAGCCCUGCAGACCACGCGGUCUGUCCCAGGAGAGCCACCAGCAAGCGGGAGUCGUGCAAGGGCGGUGCCCAGGCCUCACACCCUGAAGCCAACCGGGACUCGAACGGGCUCUAAAGCCCAGGCGCGAGCCUGAGCCUCCGGUGGGCGGGACGGCAGGUGCACGCUUGUCAUUGGGUAGCCUUGCUGUCAAUCACUGAGAAAACGCGACGGGAGGAUGGGCUAACCCAAUGGCGGUCGAGGACCUCGCCUUCGCGGAAGAUUGGCAGUGGUCCCAUCCCCUUGCUCGUCUGGAGGAAACAGAGGUACAUGGUAUAUUCUCGCUACUGGGACUGGAAGGA